rnacentral:sRNA from 1 species
UGGAACCACUGAAGCAGAAAUUUCAUCAGGCAAUACCCCAGGAUCAACGGGAGUCACCAGCAGCCAAGAAGGAACCACUGUGGUAUCAAGUGGAAUCACUGGAAUCCCAGAAACUUCCAUCUCAGGUCCUUCCAAGGAAGCAUCUGACAAAACCACUGCUCCUGGACCUCCUACUACAGUCACUGCUUCCACAGGAGUCAAAGAAACUUCUGAAACUGGAGUGCAAACAGGCUCUACCUUGGUUACAGCUGGAAUGACAACAAGACCACAAGUAUCCCAGCCAGAAACCACUGUCGUGGCAACCAGAGAAGUAGAAACUGAAAAUAAAACAGAAUGUCUAGCCUCACUUCCACCAGCUCCAGGUAAGAAUUCCACGACUUCAGAAUUGUUCUGCAUUAAUGAUUCCUCUUGUCAAUCAAAUUUCAGAGGUCACGCUAAUAAAAGUCACUAGCCAUGGAAAUGUUAUAAAA